AUUGAACGCUGGCGGCAGGCUUAACACAUGCAAGUCGAGCGGAGAGAGGUAGCUUGCUACUGAUCUUAGCGGCGGACGGGUGAGUAAUGCUUAGGAAUCUGCCUAUUAGUGGGGGACAACAUUUCGAAAGGAAUGCUAAUACCGCAUACGUCCUACGGGAGAAAGCAGGGGAUCUUCGGACCUUGCGCUAAUAGAUGAGCCUAAGUCGGAUUAGCUAGUUGGUGGGGUAAAGGCCUACCAAGGCGACGAUCCGUAGCGGGUCUGAGAGGAUGAUCCGCCACACUGGGACUGAGACACGGCCCAGACUCCUACGGGAGGCAGCAGUGGGGAAUAUUGGACAAUGGGCGCAAGCCUGAUCCAGCCAUGCCGCGUGUGUGAAGAAGGCCUUAUGGUUGUAAAGCACUUUAAGCGAGGAGGAGGCUACUUUAGUUAAUACCUAGAGAUAGUGGACGUUACUCGCAGAAUAAGCACCGGCUAACUCUGUGCCAGCAGCCGCAGUAAAAC
rnacentral:rRNA from 1 species